ACCAGGCCCAUCAUUUCUUCUUGGCAGCAGCCUUGGUAACCUUGGCGCCGGUCGGGUCCUUCUUCUCCACGCUCUUGAUGACUCCCACAGCAACCGUCUGCCUCAUGUCACGGACAGCAAAGCGACCCAGAGGAGGGUACUCAGAGAAGGUCUCCACCACCAUGGGCUUGGUGGGAAUCAUCUUCACCAUACCAGCAUCGCCGUUCUUCAGGAACUUGGGCUCCUUCUCAAGCUCCUUACCGGACCGUCUGUCGAUCUUGGUAAUGAGCUCAGCAAACUUGACAGCGAUGUGGGAGGUGUGGCAGUCCAGGACUGGGGCGUAACCAUUGCCGAUCUGGCCAGGGUGGUUCAUGAUGAUGACCUGGGAGGUGAAGCUGGCAGCCUCCUUGGCAGGGUCAUCCUUGGAGUUGGAGGCCACAAAACCACGCUUGAGAUCCUUAACAGCAACGUUCUUCACGUUGAAGCCAACGUUGUCACCAGGAAGGGCCUCCUGGAGAGCCUCAUGGUGCAUCUCAACAGACUUCACCUCAGUAGUCAGGCCAGUUGGACCAAAGGUGACAAGCAUACCAGGCUUGAUGACACCGGUCUCAACACGGCCAACAGGGACGGUUCCAAUACCACCAAUCUUGUACACAUCCUGAAGGGGAAGACGCAGGGGCUUGUCCGAAGGCCUCUUGGGCUCGUUGAUCUGGUCAAGAGCCUCAAGCAGGGUUGGGCCCUUGUACCAGUCAAGGUUGGUGGACCUCUCAAUCAUGUUGUCACCCUCAAAACCGGAGAUGGGGACGAAGGCAAUCUUGUCAGGGUUGUAACCCACCUUCUUCAGGUAGGAGGAGACUUCCUUCACAAUCUCAUCAUAACGGGCCUUGGAGUACUUGGGAGUGGUGGCGUCCAUCUAUAUAAAUAGAGUAGCAGGAGAACAUCAUUAUUAGCUUUAAUGGAAGAGAUCGCAUGAACAGUAGGCAAACUGUAUAUACAAGAGAACAUCACAUCAAUAACAUUAACAGGUAUCACACUUGCAUUAAUAGGUAAACCAUCAUAUACCACGCACAUCAAAAUUAGCUAGUACAGGAUGCAACAAAUAAAGCAAGAACAAAAAUACAGACCUCAAAAGGUAACGCAUCAUAUCCUAUUACUAAAUUACACAGUACAUAAGUAACAGCACAAUCAUAUUUAUACAACUAAUGAUGCAACACUUUGCCCUAACAUCCUGCACGCAUUGGAAAUAUUCCAAUAACUUUGAAGUACCAAACAGUUAAAUGAGCAACUUAUACCAAAAUUAUUUAAGAAACAUGGACAGCAGAUACAGUUUUCACCGAGAGAACAAAGAACAAACCAAUUAAAAUUAACAUGCCAACCAAAAUGCUUCCAGAUAAUUAACAUUUUUCAAUGGCAUAUCAACAGCAAGAAGCAAAUGUAAACAGGCAGAUAGCAUGGACAAACAAAUACGUAGGAGCAAAUAUGGAUCAAGAGCAAACAGACAGACAUCACAUAACAGCACAUCCAACUAACAGUAGGAUAGCGAACAGAUUUCACCAGAAUAAAAGUAAAAGGACCACAGUAUACAAACAAUAGCAAGCAUUUUAUAAGAAAGCAAAAUGAUUAACAGCAUGUGCUCCAAUUCUAUAUUACAACACAAGUGUUUGCUAAGAUCAGAACAAAACUCAAAAGAGGCAAAUCGUUUAAGACUAAACUACUAUCAUUGAUAAAUGUAUAGGUAACAGAUGGGCAAUCAUUAUGCAUGAAAUUGAAAGCCUGCCAAAUUCAGUAAAUGACUCACAUGCUCACAAUUUCCUUGAAACAUGAAGCAUCCAGUUUACUAAAAGGAACAGCAAGUACACUAGUUUGGAAUUAUACAAUGCCAAACUAUCAAGACUUGACAUGCAUAUUCAAGAAGAUGUCAUCCAAUUAAACAUGAUUGGCACUUCGAUUUCUAGGAUCAUACCUUGUUGCAGCAGCAGAUCAUCUGCUUCACUCCGAGAGUGAAAGCAAGGAGAGCAUGCUCACGGGUCUGGCCAUCCUUUGAGAUACCAGCCUCAAAACCACCAGUGGUGGAGUCAAUGAUAAGGACAGCACAGUCAGCCUGGGAGGUACCAGUGAUCAUGUUCUUGAUGAAGUCACGAUGUCCAGGGGCGUCAAUGACGGUGCAGUAGUACUUGGUGGUCUCAAACUUCCACAGGGCGAUAUCAAUGGUGAUACCUCUCUCACGCUCAGCCUUGAGCUUGUCAAGCACCCACGCGUACUUGAAGGACCGCUUGUUCAUCUCAGCGGCCUCCUUCUCGAACCUCUCGAUCACACGCUUGUCGAUACCUCCAAGCUUGUAGAUCAGGUGGCCGGUGGUGGUUGACUUGCCAGAGUCGACGUGGCCAAUGACCACAAUGUUGAUGUGGGACUUCUCCUUACCCAUGGCUGCCGGUGAAGCUUAAACCGCUGCAUCAGAUAAAUCAGUUGUUAGAAACAGUAACCAGAGCAAACAAGCAAGUAUCUGCGCAGAAUUUAAAGGCCAGCUAACAAGCUAGGAGUGUAUACAAAAUGAUGAAAAGCAGUGACAGAACAAUUCCACAGAUCAGAUCAGAAAAUAGAUCAAACAAAGACGCUGCAACUAUUAACAUAUACAUCAACUACACAGCAAAUCAACUACACAGCAAAAGCCUCUCAAAAUAAAGGAACUGCAGCAACCCUAACCUAUAAACAUUCGAUCCAGAACUACGACUAACAAAUCAACCUACAGAAUCUAUGUAAUUAUCCGGAUCCAGAUGAAUCCAUCCAUAAGAGUCAAAUCCUAGAACCGAGCGAGCACGUAUAACCCACAAACCCUAGGGAAAUGGACAUGCGAGUACCAACAACGCAAUCACUAUCAGAGGACCAAAUCACUACUAGCACGAGGAUGCGGCACAAUACAACAUCGAAUCUAGUCGCGAAAGCAUGAAGUAGCAUAGAUCAAGCGAGGAGCAGCCGAGAAGAAACGGUACCUGAGGAAGCGGAUGAGAAGGGGCGUAGGAAGGAGGCGGCGGCGCAGGUGACGGCGCGGGGGAGAGGCUGCCUGGACCUGGUGACGAAGGCGCUGGCCGCUAGGGUUCGGGGCUUUAUAUAUCAGUCGUGGCGAGGAGUGGAGUCGGUGCGUGGCAGGCCGGGCCGAGCCAGCCCAAGGGGAAUGACACUGCCGAAUCGUGGCGACGGCCCAUAAAUGAAACCCACGGGGGCUCACUCAUUUGGCUGCGACUCUAACUUUUCCAAUGGAGCAGUUUUUUCUCACGUUAGAAAUUCCUCCGAGUAGUUAAAAAUAGCUAAUAGCUAGAUAAGUGAAAUAAUCAUCAUACUCUUUUCUUUUCUUUUCUUUUUUAUUUUCAUUUUCCAUUUAUUUUUCUCUCCAUCCCAUCUUUUUCUCUCCCUCUCAUUUCUUUCCUUCCGUUUCUCUUUCUUCCUUAUCUAAUAAGGCUGCCCGUCGCCUCCUCUCUGUCUCCGCCAUCCCGUCUCCACCAGACCUUCCUGCGCCACUGCAUCUCCACCGAGCCUCUCUCUGGCGCACCGCUCCGAGCCACGCCGCUGCCCCCUGCCGUGGUGCUCCACCGCUCCGCCCCAACGCCGCCGACUAUGGUGCUCCGCCGCGCCUUCGCUCCUUCAUCCGGUGGACCAAAAUGUCAGGUGGCCCCUUGCUCAAGGGUGAAGCCGUGGGGAGCCAGUUUUUUUAGCUCCUCAUCCGACUUUCAGCUCCAAAGAGCAAGUAUCACAUAGCCUUUUUUUGCUGAAUCCAUUUUGGUGAUGCCCUUUGGUAGGGCUUCAUCACGAGCCAGUGGAGAAGCCCUAACAAAGGGGGCCUUAGUGUCGCGGAUAGAUCCCCGAUACCCGUAAGGAAGAAAGAAGACGAACUCCUACUAGGUUUCCUUUGUAAUUCUACUAGGACUCAUAUCCUAUAAUCUUGGCUCCUCCUUAUAACCGACUAGUAAACCCACCUCCUGGAGUAUAUAAAGGAGGGUAGGGGUCCCUAGAUCGGUAGGUGAAGACCUCAUAGAACCACAACAGAGGACCAAAUUCUUAACACCAAAUAACACCCAAGCGAAGGGCGCAAUAUACAAUAUUGCAAACAUGAUGUAGGGUAUUACGCUACUCUGGCGGCCCGAACCUGUAUUAAUCCAUGUCUUGUAUCCUCGCUUUUACCUUCGAGUUCCAGGUCCGACGAUUCCCCACCAACCAAUAAUACUGUUGGAAUACGAGGUAGGCUACCCUAGCGCAAAAGUAAAUUUUUACCGUGUAAACCAGAAAAACUGCCGUAUAUGGAUCACGGGAUUACUACUCGACGCACUGGUGCGGAAGAUGUAGAAUCGCAUCGGGGCAGUGAAGUCGAUCAACGUAGUUGAACACGUCGACGUCGAGCAGCUCCUCAGCAGCUUGUCCACGGGCAGCAAGGUCGUCCUCGUGCCGCUGCUCGUCGUCGGCUCGGCACGGCUCGUCAUGGCUCGUCCAAGUGCUGCAAGUGCAACACCUCCAAGGUAUCCACACGUGCAGGGAGGAAGCAUUGCAAGCCGAACUGCUAGGUCCGCGAGUUGCAACAAGGCGAGGGCGUGGGAAGCGCGGCGGCUGACGUUCGGCCAAAAGGAUUGAAACCCUAGGGCGCCCCACCCCUCUAUUUAUAGAGGUUCCUGACGGGCCUCUAGGUCCGAGGUCCAUUAGUACUUCUAAACCUGAUCCAACUCGGAUCAUAUCCGAAUUGGGCUUCCAGCCCCUUAAGUGUGUGACCCUAUGGGUUCCGAUACGUAUAAACAUGGCUCGAGUAAUCCUACUGAGCCUAAUAGUCGGUAGCGGCCUCUAGCAAGACGUGCCAACUCCUAUACGCACACGAAGAUCAUAUCAAACGAAUAGUCAUCAUGUACAUGUUAUUCCCUUUACCUCAUGAUAUUUGGUCUAGCUUCAAGCCGACCGCUCUUUCUCGAUCCUGUGAUUCGGAAUCCCUUUGUAGGUUAACUCUUAACCUUACGUAGCAUGGCCAUGCAUUUCCUGAUCCGAUCACUCGAGGGGCCCAGAGAUAUCACUCUCAAUCAGAGAGGGGCAAAUCACAUCUUGAUUGACCAUGCCUCACAGCAUGCUUCUUGACAAACCCGAAAGCUACCUUUUUAACUACCCUGUUACGGUGUAGCGUUUGAUAGCCCCUAAGUAAGUCGAUCCACAUCUUGAGUACAUACGACAAAUCUCAGAUCUAAGGACAAAGCGUACACGAUGUGUAAAGAGAGAACUACUUCUCGUGUUGGGUUAGUCUUAGCACAUGUCUCUAUAAGUGCCCACAUUAUUAGUUUGACAUCUCCAUGUCCAUGACUUGUGAAACAUAGUCAUCAACUAAUACAUGUGCUAGUCUAAUAUUCAUGUGUGUCCUCACAUGAACUCCGACUAGGGACAACUUUAGAAUAACCAUACAAGUAAAGAGUUUCACAUACAAUUUACAUAAUUGCAAAUCAAUUCAAGUAGCCUUUAAUGGAUAUUCAAUGAACACAAUAUACAAAUCAUGGAUACAAUCAGAUAUCAUCAUCUCUAUGAUUGCCUCUAGGGCAUACCUCCAACAUCUACUACCUCGGGAUACCCCUCGAUAGGUUGUCGGGUAUAAAACACCGACACCUAACACGUCAGGUAGGGGCGAUCGUCGAGAUCAUUGAGCGAGCUUGAAGACCUUAUCAUCAAGAUCAAUCUACUUGACAAGAAGCAAGUCGCCGAGUCAGAGUUCCGAGCAGAUAAAUCUAUGUCCAGACAGAAUUGAUGCGCUCCGUGUUCCAAUCAAAGACCGAGUCGAUUUCCGCCGUAGGCUGCUGCAUACGGCUCAUCAAUCAAGUCACGCGCAGAUUGAGGCAAAUAAUUAAGUCGCUGACGACUACUUUGACUACUCAUCUCGCCAGAAAACUAGUCGAGGACGAUCUACUUCGACUACUCGUCAAACUAGUCAACGACGGUCUAUUUUGACUACUUGUCUCGACUAGAAAACUAGUUGAGGGCGGGUUCCACGUGAUUAAUAACUAGUCGGAAUCGACUCCAACUAGUUAGCUUCAUCAACAAUCGACACGACUUCAUCGACAAUCAUCCACGAAUUAAGCUAAGUCACUUUUUAAUUAUUUUAUAUAAAUUUUCCGACUUGUUUUCCGCAUGCAGGGCAACACGCCGACUACUUAUUUGUGUAUGCCUCUUAACGGGAAUUACCCUCCAGAGCUACACUUUGCCAAUUAUUCCUGGGGCAUAUUGAUCGACAGCCAUAGGCUUGAUACAUCGAACUACGGAGGCUAUCGCCACAGGUUUGGUGCACCGAGUUUUGUAAGCUCCACCACAGGCUUGGUACACUGAAAGGAGGCUCUGCCACGAAGUUUGGUGCACUGAGUGCUGGAGGCUCAUAGCGGCUACACCCUAAGGAGGCACAAAUCCUAUACGCGGCAACACACGCUCUUCUAGCCAAAAGGCACAAAGUCUCAACGACUACUUUAAGAGAAAUCACACUUUCUUUUUGUCGCAAUGCUGACUACUUAUUUUAAAUGUCUUCUCUUAGCAGUCACCAAUAUCCUUGAGUAGUUGACGCCUUAAUUCAUGAUAGCCUCGGAUAUUUUGUCAUGCCUAAACGCUAGGACAUGAGACAAAGAUCUCCGUAGCAGCAGUGCUAGUAUGUGUACACGAGAUUAAGAUCUCACAAGCAGUGGCAAUGGCUAAACAGGGACUAAAAGCCUAAACGUAAUAGGCAAACUACUCAGGAGAAAAAUAGCCGAAACAAGAGCAUGACACACAAUAUUUACAUUAUAUUCAUCACUGAAUAUAUUUCAGUAGUUCCAAAUUCUUCAAAUGUGCUACAUAAUGUAUGCAUUUCUUUUUUUAGAUCAAGUUUCGGCAAUGACUCCCCAGGACACUCAGUGUAUCUAUAAUGGCUCCACUAGCUCCCCCGGCUCGGGGGCUAAGCGCCAAUUACUACUCGGAAUAUCUUCAGUGCCUCAGCUAGCUUCCAAGCUCGAGGACUAAAGCGCCAAUUACUACUCGAAAUACCUCCGGUAGCUCCACUAGUUCUCAAAUUCAGGGGCUAAGUGCUAAUAACUACUCGACGUGGCUCCUACGGCUCACCUGGCGCAUAAGCUCGGGGGAUGGACACUGCAAAACUACUCAGAUGAUGACUUGUGUGAAGAUCAAAGACCCUCGGAUUGAUUACUUAAUCAUUACAAGGCUCGGGGGUUGAUAAGCUACAGCCAGCAGUUGAUUCUUUCAAGAUGAAAGAAGAAGAUUUAAGGUUUUAUUGACUCUCAACCUAAUUCUUCGAUUCAACCUAAUGCUCGGGGGCUACUCCAUAUGGAGUGCGACGUCCGCCACCCUCCAUAUUACAUUCCAAAGAUGAAGAUUACAAAAUCAAGAUGAUCAAGGGCUUGAGCACACCAUAUCCUUAUGGCAACUAUGAGGAACUUUGAAGAUUCAGCCAGACAAAGUACUUGAAGAGCACCAAAACUACUCGGCGAGGAUCUGAAAACUACUUAAGGCUGUUGCAUUCGACUAUGAAGCGCUCGGGGCCUUGUUGAGGAUAGAUCCCCUGUACCCGCAAGGAAGGAAGAAGACGGACUACUACUAGGUUUCCUCUGUAAUCUUGCGAGGACUCAUAUCCUGUAAUCCUACUAGAACUCUUCCUUGUAACCAACUAGUAAUGUCACCCCCUGGAGUAUAUAAAGGAGGGCAGGGGUCCCAAGAUCGGUAGGCGAAGACCUAUUGAAUUACAACAGAGGAUCAAAUCCUCAACACCAAACAACAUUCAAGCGUAGGGCGCAAUAUACAAAAUCCUAAACAGGAUGUAGUGUAUUACGCUACUCUGGCGGUCCGAACCUGUAUAAAUCCAUGUCCUGUGUCCUCGCUUUUACCUUCGAGUUCCAGGUUCGAUGAUUCCCCACCAACCAAUCUACUACCUCGGGAUACCCUCAAUAGAUUAUCGGUUAUAAAACACUGACACUAAUAAACUAUCUUGUGGUUCGUAAUCUCAAUGAACCUACGUUGAAGUUAUAAAAGUGGGAGCUUUGUUAUGCCAAGAAAAUGAAAAUGAAAGCAAUCACUUCACCGGCACCAUUACAUUUAUAUUCAUAAAUCUUACUAUUACUAAUUAGAGGCUUCUUUUGAAGCUUUCAGGUGAAGCUACCUAGGAUCCUAGGUGGAUACUCUAGAAAAAAAGAGAAAUCCUAGAAAUUAUCACAAAAAAGCAAAAUAUCUAGCCAUAAAUCGGUAGAUUCAAAUCAUCAUAGCCACUGGAUCUAUUAUGUUUUCUAAAAAAUACACCUACGCCAUUAUGAAAAUAGCCUAAAGUAACCCCAAAAUCUACAUCUAAAUUACCCACCUCUGCCAUUAUAUAAAAUAAACUAAAGUAACCCCCUCAAUCUUCAUAAAAAUUACCCACUUAUACUAUUAUAAAUAAUAUUUAAAAUUACCCCCUAAAUUUGUAACUAAAUUGUCCACUACUAAUACUUAAAAAUAACUUAAAAUAACCCCUCAAAUUUGCAUCUACAUUAUCCACAUAUACUAUUAUUAAAAAUAACAUGAGGUAACUCCACAUUUGAAUUCAAAUCACCUUAAUUAAAAAUAUGCAUUAAUAUAUGAUUCUAAAUCGUCUAUUUUUUACACUAUUGGUAUAUGAUAUAAUAAUUAAGGUAUAUAAGCAUGAUGUGUAUAACCAUUUAUAAAGAUAUAGAGAAAGUGGUGAGAAUAUAUAUUUCUAUGUUAAAAUUAUAGCUCAAACUUAGGAUCUAUUAAACAGAUUCAAGCGCAUACAUGAGAUGCAAGUGAAAAUUUAAAGAUUAUAAAUAUGGAUGAAAAUAUUGUUGAGUAAUUACUGACUAAAAUCUAUCACAAUCGGAUAAAGAUAAUAAGUAUAUAUCUAUAUAAGUAUUAUGUUCGAAUAUUUAAGAAAUGAGAGGUAGCUCAAGGUAAUCAUUUGAUAGCAAUGUGGUCUCAUUAGUUCCCAAAGGACACACUAGAAAAAAAAGACAAAUCCUAGAAAUUCUCAUAAAAAUAAAAAAAUAUCUACAUCAGUCUUGUAAACUCUAAUAAUCAUAGUCAUUGGUCUAUUAUAAUUUCUAAGAAGUUACCCACCACUAUCAUUAUGAAAAUAUUAAAAAAAAUCUAAAACUUUAUCUAAAUUACCGAGAUUGGUCAUUAUAAAAAAUAAUCUAAAGUGAUUCCGUAAUCUUCAUCUAGUUUACUUAUACAUAUUAUUAUAAAGCAUAACUUAAAAUAACAUUCUAAAUUUGUAUCUAAGAUACCCACGUAUAUCGUUAUUAAAAAUAACCUAAGUAACACCUAAAUCUUAAUCAUCUAAAUCACGUGCAUCGUUCAGAAAUAUCCAAAAAUAAAAUAAUAUAUAAUUCUAAAUUACUUAUUUAUGUCGUUGUUAAUAUAGAAAUAUUAUGUUAAAGUAUAUACACAUGACGAGUAUGAGCAUGUAGACUAUUUAUAUAUGUAUGUGAGAAAUUGAUGAAAAAUAUUAAUUGUAAUAACACAAUGUAUGUAGGUGCAGGGGCGAAGCUAGCAUCAAAAUGGAGGUGGUGCACAACUCAAGCAACAUACAAAUUUUUCUUAGAUAUAUGGUGAAAAUUAAUCAAGUUAUUAACAAAGUUUUGAUUUACCCUAGUGCACGUGCACCAUGGUGACAUAACGUGGCGUCGCCCCGUGGAGAUGUAAUACAAGAUGAAAUGAAUGUGAAUGAAAAAGUGUAUAGAGUAGUUACUAAAUAAAAAUCAAUCACAACUGGAAGUACAUAUCUAUAUAUGUGUAUUACGUUGAAAUAUUGAAAAAAAUGAGAUAGUAGUAAUUUUGAAAAUUAGCUACAAGUUUAAUUUGUAAAUAAGUUUAAGAUACAAUAGCUUUAAAACACAUUAGCCGCACGGGUUGAUCGCUAGUGUUCAGGAAUCUGGUUAAUUUCUUCAUAGACGUACGAUCACCAUGAGUGAGGGGCUACUGCAGUCAUCCAUUUUCAAUUGGUUGGGAGAGUAGCGAGUUUAUCAAGGUCAACCCCCCUGGUGUUUGCUCAGUACUAGGAGUAUCUCCAAUCCGUUGGCUUAUCAAUAUGUCAUAUUUACUCCAAUAUAAUCAUCAACUAGAGCUAGGGGAUCCAAAAUUGGUUCGAUCCAAUCCAUACUCGCCGCGCCUACGAAUAAUGGCUUGUCAACUCUAUAAACCGCUUCGAUCUCCGUCCAUGGUCCAGAUCUUUACUGCAGCCUAGCCAGACACGCCAUGUCAACGAUCAAGCAGCUUGCUCUUGCUCCCAUGCGCCGUCUCUUCUUCCACCACCUCCUCGCCGUCUCAGCGCUGCUGCUCGCAGCGCAAUGGGGCGGCGGCCGCGCUGUCCACGCUCCCCUGGUCUCCCCUCUCGCCAAGGACCCCGCCACCUCCCUCUACACCAUCUUCAUCAAGGACGGCAGCGGGCCACUCGUCGUCGACCUCGCCGGCCCACUCAUCUGGUCCGCAUGCGCGUGCGCGUCCGGCCACCCGACGUUCCCCUGCGGAUCCGCUGAGUGCGCCGCCGCCAGCGGGUUCAGCUGCCCCCCGCAGGGGCAGGAGGAUUACGGCGGCGGCGGCGCCGCAGUCGAUGGAGGAGACCACCGCUGCAUGUGCACCGCGCGGCCCUGCGACCCGGUCACGCGCGCCCGGUGCGCGGCCGGGGACCUCACCAGCUUCGCGAUGUCGGCCAACGCCACCGACGGCCGGAACGCGCUGUACCCGGUGUCCUUCCAGGCCGUGGGCGCGUGCGCGCCGAACUGGCUGCUGCGCUCGAGCUCGCUCCCCGCCGGCGCCGCGGGCGUCGCGGGGUUCGGCCGCGCGCCGCUGUCGCUGCCGUCGCAGCUGGCCGCGCAGCGCGGGUUCGGGCGCCGGUUCGCGCUGUGCCUGCCCGGCGUCGCCAUCUUCGGAGACACCCCGAUCCACCUCGGGUCCUACCCUCCCGACCUCAUGACCACCAUCGCGUCCACGCCGCUGGCCGCAAACCCCAGGGGCAGCGGUGGCUACUACCUCCCCGUCGAGGCCAUUUCCGUGUCCUGGUCCAACUGGAACGUGGCGCCGACCCGCGCCGCGCUGCCGCCGGGCGCGCUCGAGCUCGACGCCGCGACCGGGCGCGGCGGCGUGACGCUGAGCACCGUGCGGCGGUACACGGCCAUGCGCCCCGACGUGUACCGCGCCUUCGUCCAGGCGUUCGGCGAGGCCAUCGGCAGGCCAGGGUACGUGAAGACGAUGCCGGCGGUGCCGCCGUUCGAGCUGUGCUACGACACCUUCUCGCUGCGGCGCGUGAAGGUGCUGGGGUGGGACGUGCCUUCGAUCCGCCUGGAGCUGGGCGCGGGCGCCACGAUGAACUGGACGGUGGGCGCCGGCAACUCCAUGGUGCAGGCGGCGGAGCGCACGCUGUGCCUGGCCGUCGUCGAGAUGCACGGCGCGGAGGCGGCGGCGCCGGCGGUGGUGAUCGGCGGGUACCAGGUGGAGGACAACCUGCUGGUGUUCGAAGAGGACAAGGAGGUGCUGCACUUCAGCGGCCUUCUCUGGGGCUCGGGCGCCACCUGCAGUGGCUUCAACUUCACCGCGCCUCUGUGACCGUGAUCCGGGAGCCAAGGCGCAUGCAGCAGGACGUGUCAUGUGUUGACUUUCAGCUAGCUUUGUGAGAAAGCGUUGACUUCCUUCUCAUGUGUUUAGCAGAAUUAAUAAAGCUUUGAAGAAACUUGUAAUUCUCAUGUGUCUAGUCAUCUGUAAUUCUGUCAUCUCCGCCUUCCUUUUGACCUGUAGUUCUGCACAAUUCCUCGAGCAGUGCCACCUGCUGCAGCGACAGCGACCUCACUCAGUCAGUUCAUCAAGUAGAGCCUCUCGCGCGCAGGAGCUCGGGUCCAAUGGCAAGGAGCUCGUCGGCUCCUCUCAUGGGCCUCUUAGGGAGAAGCACGUUGAGCCAUGGCAUUAUGGCAAGCGAGCUCUGAAUAUGGUUCUGGUGUGCAAGUGCUCUAUCCAAGACAGGGAGGGAAAAGGACCAACCUUCUUCCAAAAGAAUCGUUGCCUGCACACCUUGUAAGAAAGCAAUAACUUCAGCUUGAAAAGCAUCAAUCAAAUGAUCGAUCUGAUCAUGCCCAGCACAGAUUACAUCUCUAUCAGAAUCACGGAUAUAUAUAACGAAGCCCCAACCGUCAGUCUUUGAAAGAGGAAUUGCAAGUAACUUUCAGUGCUCCAGCUAUUGGUCUAAUCCAUCAAACUUUUGGUCUGACUGCCUCUGUGGCUCUGUUACAUUCCAAUAGCAGAUACUGAUCAUAUUCUUCCUGAGCUGGCUGCACUGAUUUCCCAGAGAUUCACUUUCUAAGCAUCUGUUACACAAAAGAGCCUAGCCCAGAGAAAUGUCUCAUUUCAAGUGAAUGUAAUCUUUCAGAAAGCAAGCGUUACAUUCCAAAACCUAUGGCUUCACCUUCUGACUCUAGCAAUCAGUGGUCUUUUGAUCUCACUGGUGUUCUCUGAUGGCCAUGACAGUGCAUAGCAGCUUUUGCUAUCAUUGGAGGAGAGUCAUGUUCUUUGUCUUUCCAGGCUAUUCCUGCCAAAAAAAAAGGGGCUCUUACAUUUCCAGAUGAUGAUUAGAGCAAGCAACAAGAUGGUUCUGAAUCUCCAAACCACAAUAUCUUGCAGGAUGUAACCAUGAAAGAGGACCUUCCGGUAAGUUAAUGAUUAUUCAAUACUAAUAUCUUUUCCCUGUUUGUAUUUAAAUGAGCCGAAUCAACAUAUAUUUCUGCAGUGCGAUGCUGGUGAAUCCAAUUAUUUACCCUGUGACAUGUUGCUAAAAGUGUUGGUGACAAAUCGUCUAUUCAGUUCCAAAAGUUGCUUACAUCUUGCUAAUGCAGUGUAUUCUUUUUUUUUUAUCAUAGACAUGGUUGUUCGUUUUCUCAUAUAUUUGCUUUCUUUUAUUUGAAGUGCAAGUGAUAAAACCUCCUGCAAAGCCCCCCCCCCCCAACCCUUUACUACUAAACAGAUACCUGGUAGUGGCCCAAGCAAAAGAGUGAUUAGGUAUGUGCACUGAUCUUUUCUUCAGAACUGAAGUUAAGAGAUUGGCUGACUCGGCAGAACACAGGUCUUGAGGAUCCACAAAGUUACAAGUUGAAGCACAGCUCCCGUGACUUCGUAGUGCUAUCUUUUGGAAUCAUUCAGUGGCUAUAUAGUUAAGUCACAACUGCGAACUAUGUGAUCUGUUUCGAAGACAAUCAAAGUGUACUGAACUUUGUAUGCUAUCUAUAAACAAAAUCACCUCAAUCAUGUUUUUUAUCAGUUGCCACAACAGCUGUAUUGACUAAUCGUAGUAUCUACAUUUGCUCUUAUUUUUGUUGUCGGUUUGAACAGAACUUCAUCUGUUACCAUAGAGUAUAUAAUUGCUAUCACAAUUGUCUACUGUACGUUGUAAUGCACAGGCUGUAAAAUAAAUAAAAUCAACAUGCUCCACAUAAGAUAUUACAAAGAUUUUUCAUUUGGGAAAAAAUAUAUUUCCCCCUUUUCUUUUUUCUUCACGUCAGCAUCUCUAAGAGAAAGCUCCUUUAUAUUACCCCAAAUCUUAUUUAAGGAAAAAAAACACGAGAACUCAGGCUCCAACAGGUCCCCUCCCGAAAAAAUGCAGCGAGGCAGAAGAGCGUGCCCCGCACCGCGCCCAACACCUCCCGCAGCGCCUUCCCGACGAGCUGCUCCAGCAGUAUCCAGUCCAUGGCCGCCUCCUCCUCCUCCUUCUGUCUCCGUCUGGGUCAUGUCGCGUUCGUUCCCGGCUCCAGCUGCUUGCGUGCGUGCACGCGUGUGGUGUAGUUGUUCAGCUAGGUGAGUGAGGGGUUGCCGGUGGCUGCAGCUCAGGGAUCCGUGGGGCUCGCGGUCACUGACAAUGUUGGGCCGUUCCGCCAUGUCUUCUCUUCUUAGGGGGUGUUUGGCAGGGAGGGGCUAAAUUUUAGCCCCUGUCACAUCGGAUGUUUGGACACUAAUUAGGAGUAUUAAACAUAGUCUAAUUACAAAACUAAUUGCACAACCCCUAGGCUAAAUCGCGAGACGAAUCUAUUAAGCCUAAUUAGUCCAUGAUUUGACAAUGUGGUGCUACAGUAACCAUUCGCUAAUGAUGGAUUAAUUAGGCUUAAUAGAUUCGUCUCGCGAUUUAGCCUAUGGGUUCUGCUAUUGGUUUUUUAAUUAGCUCAUAUUUAGUCCUCCUAAUUAGCAUCUGAACGUGUGAUGUGACAGGGCUAAAGUUUAGCCCCUGACAUCCAAACGCCCCCUUAGUACACUGUCGCAUCUUCUCUAGCGCGGCGGGCCGCAGAGCCCAGCAGCUCCUCCACUGUGAGGAGGUGCGGUUCGGUAGUGAGCUGGGCGAGCAAGGCGGAGGAGGGCGCGGGAGCAAGACCGUGUGGAGGUGGCCGACUAGCCGAGCCUCAGCGCGCUCGUGGCGGUCCAGCUGAGGAUAUUGGGGAAUUUAUUAUUAGUGAUUUGCUAUAGUAUAACAUGAUUUUGGGGAAAGAAAUUUUUAGUAGAGCUCCCAAUAUAUAAUUUCGGGGAAGAAUUUUUUAAAAGACUCUUGGCUCUAACCGACAAAACCUGAUCUCGGAAACGCAUUGGGCCACAUCGCCCACAUUUCUUGACUGUUGGAUUCCUCUGCAGAGCUGAUCAAGCCGUCGUCCCUCUCACGCACGUCCCGACCUUUGCAGUUUUGCGACGCUUCACGAGUCUCGUUUCCCUCUCAAGUCAAGGCCGUCGGGCGCCCCUGUCUCUACUUCGUUCGAUGAGGGCGCCGCAAUGGUGUGCACCCACCCCGUGUCCCCAUGCCUCCUGUGACCUUGUCCCUCCCCUCUCUACCUCGACGUGGCGGAAUCUCCAGCGUGCUCCGGCGCCAGCGGAGCUUCAGGCCGGCGUUCCUGUCCGCUGCCAUGGGACAUUGCCUCGGGUGGCGCGGCUGCCUGCAAGCGGAUGGGCGCAAGGAGUAGCUGAUUCCAUCCACCAUAGGUGCGCGUGUCUCCACGUCAUCAUCGGCCGCCAUCGCCUUUUCUCGAUAUGCACCAUCAAGAAGAUCAAGAACGAUGAUCGCAAAGCGUUAGCGUGGGAAAGCCUGCCGUUUCGCUGCCGCCAUUGUUUUCUGCGGAUUCCAGCAGGAAACUCCGCGAAGGCUCGAGGGUGACCAUGAGCCUGCGCCAGUAUGCCACAGGUACCACCGUUGCAGCGGGGCGUAAGAGCGAUGCCAUUAGCAGGACGCACCAGCAUCACCCCGAGGACAGGCGACGGGAGUAGUGCUUGAGGCACGGUGCGGUUACGGAAUCAACAGAUAGCAUUUCAGAUAACAAGAAUGCAAUGAAUUACCAAAGUCCACUUAAAUUAAGAUCAGGAAGCACUAGCUAUCUUCCGCACCUCGAAAAACAAGGUGAUAUGUCUAAAAAGUGAAAACUGCACUCGAGUUGAAAAUGCGAUUACAAAUGUAAGAGUUGCUGAUAGACUCCCUUUCCAGACUCUUCUAUUGAAUUCUCCUUUGGCACCUGCUCGCUUGAUUGUAACUGUGCUGCUGCUAGACUAACUGAUACGGAGUAAUAUUGCUGCUACUGACUUGGUGAUCAAGUGAAAAGAUAAACUGAACUGAACAGUCUUGCAGUAAGUUAUAUAUAAAUUAGAUCUGUAUUCUCCAUAUGAUUUUCAGAGCAAUGUAUGUACCAAAUGUUUUAAUUUCCUUCUAUUAUGCUCCCAGCACCAGAUGUUUGAAUUUCAAACAUACCCUAUAUUGCAUCAGUCAACUUAUGCUAUAAUGAUAUCAACUGAAAAGCUCCUUGCUUGUGCAUUUUUCUUUUACAUUUUAACUGUCCUUUCAGGCUUUAACUAAUGUUUCAUGCAUGUAGCCUUGAGCCCUUAAGUGCUAAUUUCCCCAUUCUAUUAAUUGUUUUAAGCCAUCUUGCUUGUGAUGUAAACAAUCGGUGCUAUACUUGCAGCUGCUAACUGAAUUACUUUCAUGUGCACAGCUUUAAAUAUAAACUGCUUUCUAUUCUACCCAAAAUGAUCAAGGAGUUAGAUUAUGUCGAAUGAAUCAAGGACUGCAUGGCAACUUGGCAGCAGAGAACCGGUGGAUCCAUGUCCAGAGUUCACGUGAUAUGUUCCUGGUAACACCAAAACUUGGUGAGUUAGUUGGGAGUUACCUGAACCUUAGCACCAACUCUGCCUGUAACCACUUCAGUGCCCAUUGUACAGUACAGUAACAAAUUAACAAUAUAUCAAAAGAUUCCACGCUUGCAGAUAUCAUGUCUUCAAAAUGGCAAAACCUGAAGAUCGUUGCGUCUCCUCUUCAACCAGCCACGGAGCAACAUGCUGAAACGAGACCACAACGAUCCAAGCCCCGCUUCAUUCUAACGAGGGCACCAGCCGCGCCUCUGUUUCUAGUUGUUUACAAAAGAUGCUAAGGGGGGUGUUUGGCAGCAUUGCGUCUCCCAAAAAUCAGCUCCACUCCACCAGCUCCACACUUUCCUAGCUCCGCUCCAGCAACUUCAAAAAACUAUGGAGUUGCUAUACGCGUUUGGCUGUUUGUUGUGCUCCAACUCCAGAAACAUAAGGAUUUGGUGAGAAAGUUCUAUUUUGCCCAUGGUGGAUAGCUGGUUCUGUUUUUAGCAUUGCGGAGAGGUCUUUUUUUUACGUGCUACAGUAAAUCGCUACAGUAUGGUGCUACAGUACAUGACGCUACAAUAAUUUUUUUUUAAGAAUGUUCAACCCGAUAAUGUUUUGCCAAAUAGAAUUACGCAACAAAUACGGUACAAAAUCAACCUUGCCAUUACAAAUUAGUUCCAAGUAAGAGAGAGUGUGGUGGCUAGCUCAUCAUGAAAUACAUCCAUAGUUGGUGCGUUGAGUGCAGAAGUUGACCCAUCUGACGCUGCUUGUGAAAUUGCAUAUUUCUUAUAUCUUUCCGAUAUUGUAGGAACAAAAUCAGGAUCACGAUCAAACCGAGCAAAGUCUUCAUAUUCACCUCCAUGUUCACGAAUGAAAUUGUGAAGGACCAUGGUAGCUACAACAAUCAUCUUUUACUUGUACAUGGAUAUGGUGGCAUUUUCCAAAGAAUUUGCCACUUCAUUUUUAAUAAUCCAAAAAAUCGCUCAAUCACAUUGCGGAUAGAUGAGUGAACCCGAUUGAACCUUUCCAUAGGAGUCUUAAGUUCGGUACCUCUAUGCCAUUCCAAUAAAUGAUACAUUUCACCCUUGUAAGGAUCAAGUAGCCAGAACGAUUAGGAUAUCCCGCAUCUACACCAUAGUAUUUGCCUAUAUUCGUAUAAAAAUAAUAUGAGUUAUGAAUUUAAUCUACAUGUUAAUCACAUUCGUAUGUUCAAAUUGAACACAUGUUACCUUGUGGAGGAUGUGGAAAAAAUUCUUCAUCCACUCUGAGUGUAUUGUAUAUAGCACACUAGUGUCAUGCAUAACUUCAGGUUGUCCCGUGGAAACAUAAGUGAAACACAUAUCAAUGUCACAUACUGCUAGUACAUUUUGAGUGGCUACCCUAAUUUUUCCAAUAUAUCUUACUUGCUUAUCAGGUGAAAGAGCGACACGGAUAUGAGUGCCAUUAAGUGCACCAAUGCAAUCUUUGAAAUGUGGAUAUGAACGUCUGUCAUCUCUUAUCCUUUAUGGACUAUGGGGAAGUUGGGAUUUUUUUUUUCUAAGAAAUCUUUUGCCAUAGCCAUCAAAGCAUUUAGAACCUCAUCAAAUUUCCUACUAAUAGUUUUGCCUGAAUACUUAAAUCUAUUUUGAGCUCUCCUAUUAGACUUGUUUCCAGCAUAUGUGUAUAGGAACAUAGCAAGCAUCUCAUAUAUGCUCAUGUGCAUAGAAGAUUGUAGCCCAUACCUUUCAACCAACACACCAUGAAGAUCCAAGAAGAUUUUGUUGUUCAUACGAAGUUGUCUGUGGCAUUCUCCAGGAGUUUUCAUUGUCUCUAGCAGCCAUCCUAUACCACUAACACCAGAUGUCCUUGGUGGAUUUUUAACAAGGUAGAGGUUAGCACAUAUUUGUGCAAUUUCUACAGCACCCAAAAUAAGAUUUCAAAAGACCUCGCUUUCAUCAUUAGAGUCCUCAUUAUCGCUCUCACUUUCCUACAAAUAAGAGACCAUAUGAAAAAUAAAAUAAAAUAAGUACCACACUUAAAUUUCAAUGACAAUACUUCAUUCGAACAAGUAAGUAAAUAUUAAAACAACACUUAAGUUUCAAUGACAAUAGUUCAUACAAUAAAAAAGUAACAUUAAAAGAACACAAUUCCUCAAUUGCUGUGAGGUUGAAAAAUUCAUCGCUAACCUCAUCAUAUCCUACUGAGUUGGGUGUUCAGCCUAUUCCCUUUCUUAACUUGUUUAGAAAACAAUGAACAUAUGAGCGUUGUGUUUGCAUCAGUCCAUUCAAUUGAAUCACCCUAACCAAGAUAUAAGCCGCACAAAAAGUUUCUAGCAUAAUCAGCUGAUGAUCUCAGUGACAUACAAUAUGCUACUGUGGUAUUCCCAGAUUGAAAUGCAAAAUUGAGAACUUGGUGAAGCUAACAUAAUAGAUGCAAGCACCCUCCAAAUAAAUUAUAGAAAAUAAGACAAGGAAUAUAUCAGGUUUGAUUGCUCGAGUUGGUUUGCAUCCACAUGUGUUGGUCAACACGCAGGCAUGUGCAAGCACACAUGGCUUACGUUGUGAAUGCAGGCAAAAGUAUUAAUAUAGUUCCAGAUAUUAAUUCAGCCGGAAAAGGCUUCAUCUUUAUCUAGACCUUGGUUCUCAUGUAUAACGUAACUGUUAAAAUGAGAACGCAGCUCAGUUCUUACACAAUGUUCUUGUCAGUAACUUUCAUGUGCGGUUCAUGCUGACUAACAUUCUUAAAUCCCUUAGCAAGUGGUGCCAAUCUCUAACAAGCAGCCAAGCAGCACAAGCAAGGUUUCAAUGACACUGAGUUUACAAGCAACACAAGAAAGGCUACUAAAGUUUGCAUUACCCUGUCAGGAGCAUUUCUUUUCUUUUUGCUGCCUUCUUCACGCCUGUUUGUUGUGCAGCAGAGGCGGCUACAUCCUGGCCGUUGGGCUCGCUGCCAAGCCCGGCACCACGGCCGUCACCCUGGCCAACACGGCCACGGCCUUGGCCGCCGCCCCUGGUCAUGCCCAACUUCCGACGCUGAACUUCCUGCCCCUGGACCGCACAUUCUUCCUGGCCCAUGGCCGCGCCCAAGGGCCUGCGACCGCCGGCGUCCAGGACCGCAACACCGUCUUCAUGCGCAUCCACACCACCCCUAGCCGCGGCGCCCAAAUUUCCCCAGCCGGCGGCGCCCAGGAACGCUGCGCCGCCCAAAUUACCCCUGGCCACGCCGCACAAAUUUCCCAGGCCGCCGGCGCCAAGGACCGCAGCACCGUCUUCAUGCGCGUCCACGGCACCCCUGGCCGUGGCGCCCAAAUUUCCCCCGCCGGUGGCGCCCAGGACCGCUACACCGCCCAAAUUUCCCCUGACCACACCGCCCAAAAUGGAUCCCUGAGGUUGAGCUGAGGAAGAAAUUGGAGAAAUUGGCGGAGGAGGCUCGCUGUCACCAUCCAUCUCGCCGGGAAAGACCGCCGGCGGCAGCCCAGGGAGGAAGGGCAGCGCUAGGUUUCUGCGCGGCGGCAGGAGAGAAGCGACGGCGGGAAAGAGAAGUGACAGGUGUGGGAAAGAGAAGCGCGACGGUCUGUUCUUUUUUUAGAUCGAAUCGGUACUGUGUAACGGGUGGCAAUGGUGGUUAAAUACCCACCAACUCUACAAGGAGGUCUGAAAGGUGGAUUUUUGGAGCACCCCUUGAGGUACUCCACCAAAAAUGUGAAUCUGCCCCCCUUCUCCACCUUUUUCCUGGAGCCGGAAUUGCUGGAGCUAGACGUGUUUGGCUGCAAAAUUUUUAAAAUUGAUGGAGUGGAUCAAUUUUUACUAAAGUGAAGUGCUGCCAAACACACUCUAAACACACUCUAAGUAGCUUAGAGUUCUUUAUAGUUACAUGAACUUUGGAGCCCUGGAGCAUACGGCUCAUGCCCAAAGAGGCUCACCUAGGAGGGGUCGCUAACAAAAUUAAAAUCCUAAACCACAAUACGAUGAUCUGGUCUCGUUAACUCCGGCCGUCGGAUGGCCGUUGAUAGCUGAGCACCACGGCAACACAAUACACACCGAACCUACUCUACACUUGAAAUUGCAUAGAGAACACAUGCUCUAUACACCAUAAGGAUCUGUUUGGAUCCAAGGGCUAAAUUUUAAUUCUACACUUUUAACUUAAAAUUUAACUCUUGGAAUCCAAAUAGAUGGACAAAAAGGGUCAAAGAGCUAAAGUUUGAGCUAAAAACUUUAGCUCCUAAAGAUGCCCUAAACUGGGCUAAAAGUGGUCCCCGGAUCAAUUUCCUCCCCUUGCCCCCCUCCCCUCUCUCCUCCCCGCACUCUCUCUCUCCCCCCACCUCCUUCGCCCGCCGCCGCUGCCGCCGCCUCCGCCUCGCCUCGGCGGCCCCGCGGUCUCCGCUCGGCCCCGCGGCGCCACCACCUCCUCCUCCUCCUCCUCUGCCUCACCGUCGCCGUCGGAUCCGAGCCCAAGCCACGGGUGCUGGUCCGGCGACGGCUCCUUGCUGCUACUUCCUCGAUGUUGAUGCGGAUCCGACGCCUCCGUCUUCACCUCCGCGUCGGCGCUGCCGUGGUCCGCCAGUGUCGUCGUCCUCCCGGGUCCGCUUCAGCUCGAUGGAGAUGCUGAAGAGCCUCGCGGCCUGCUCGGGGUCCGCCUCCUCCGCCAUCCUCUGCUACCCCCGGCCGUCGUCGUCACCCUCCCCCUCGCCGCCGCCUUCCUCGGGGAUGGAGGGCCGCGGCAGGUUGUGCCGCCACCCUGAUGUGCUUGGCGGAUGGCGGCGGCGGGAAAGACAGCCGCAGCAAACGCCUCGCCGGGGUGCGCGCGGGAGGACUUGCGUGGGGACGCCGCGGAGCCACCGAAGAGGUGAUGCGCGGGGCUCGAGCUCGAUCGUGGGGAGGAGGCGGGGCAUGCCAGACGUGGAGGGGAGGUGUGCUGGGGUGCGUUAGAGGAGGUGGAGGACGAGUGGGGAGUGCUCAAUAAAUGAGGGCAAAUCAGUCUUUAUUUGAUGAAGGACUAAAGUUUAGCUCAUAUGAUCCAAACAAGUGAGCAGAACUAAAAUUUAGGAGCUAAAGUUUAGGAACUAUAGCUCAUGAACUAGUGAUCCAAACAAGUGGGCAGAACUAAAAUUUAUGAGCUAAAAUUUAGACACUAUAGCUCAUGAACUAGUGAUCCAAACACCACCUCAAACACCACCUAAGACGACCAAGGAUAGUCCUGAGCUACUCUGGAUGAUCGAUACCAUAUUUAUGUCAUCUAAAGAAUUAUGACAGUGGCAAAAGCACAUAGCAUAGCUAAAAAGGCCAAAUAAUAAGCACAUAUAGCAGUAAACUCCAAAUACUACACUAAAAUUGCUGAUUUGUUGUGAGAGAAAAAUACUGCUAGGUGGCUGAUAAACUAAAGCGAACAGAUCCGUUAAAGCGAACAGAUCCGUUGUAGGAAGGCUUCAAAAACCACACAAUCCACUCAGAAGAGCAAACAACACUAAGAAAACAAUAAAAAAAAUGCAGAACGAAAGACUCCGACAAUACAUCCAACCAAUAACGUCUCACAAAAGGGUACACAUGGUCUUGGACCAUUCAAGUUUAGCCAAAGCUAAGAUGGUACCUAAACAACUGAUACAUAGCACACCGCCAGCAGACCUUAACAGUUCACAGGCUAACAGAAGUGGCGGACAAAACUUGUGUGAUAAAGACAAGGCACCUAGGUAUCGCAAAAGCAGAUGCAGGAUUAACCACCAGGCCCAUCAUUUCUUCUUGGCAGCAGCCUUGGUAACCUUGGCGCCGGUCGGGUCCUUCUUCUCCACGCUCUUGAUGACUCCCACAGCAACCGUCUGCCUCAUGUCACGGACAGCAAAGCGACCCAGAGGAG
rnacentral:lncRNA from 1 species